UACGGAGGGGGCUAGCGUUGUUCGGAAUUACUGGGCGUAAAGCGCACGUAGGCGGCUUUGUAAGUUAGAGGUGAAAGCCCGGAGCUCAACUCCGGAAUUGCCUUUAAGACUGCAUCGCUCGAAUCAUGGAGAGGUGAGUGGAAUUCCGAGUGUAGAGGUGAAAUUCGUAGAUAUUCGGAAGAACACCAGUGGCGAAGGCGGCUCACUGGACAUGUAUUGACGCUGAGGUGCGAAAGCGUGGGGAGCAAACAGG
rnacentral:rRNA from 1 species